rnacentral:pre_miRNA from 1 species
UGGACAGAUUAUUGUAUUCGACUGUAUUCACAGCGUGAAACAGGAAUUACACUGUUUUAAACGGAAAAUGAAUCAAUUAACAUAAUAGACUCCU